UACGGGGGGUGCAAGCGUUGUUCGGAAUUAUUGGGCGUAAAGCGCGUGUAGGCGGAUCGUUAAGUCUGGUGUGAAAUCCCUCGGCUCAACUGAGGACGUGCAUCGGAUACUGGCGACCUUGAGUCCUGGAGAGGGUAGCGGAAUUCCCAGUGUAGAGGUGAAAUUCGUAGAUAUUGGGAGGAACACCGGUGGCGAAGGCGGCUACCUGGACAGUGACUGACGCUGAGACGCGAAAGCAUGGGUAGCAAACAGG
rnacentral:rRNA from 1 species